rnacentral:rRNA from 1 species
AUGCACCGAAGCUGCGGCAGCGAACGUAUCACUUAAAGCGAUUCAGCGGGUUACGAUUGACGGAGCGAAGCGACGUCAAAGCGUAUACAAAGUCGAGUCGGUUUAAGGAUACGUUCGUUGGGUAGGGGAGCGUUCUGUAAGCCUGUGAAGGUGGCCUGUGAGGGUUGCUGGAGGUAUCAGAAGUGCGAAUGCUGACAUAAGUAACGAUAAAGCGGGUGAAAAGCCCGCUCGCCGGAAGACCAAGGGUUCCUGUCCAACGUUAAUCGGGGCAGGGUGAGUCGACCCCUAAGGCGAGGCCGAAAGGCGUAGUCGAUGGGAAACGGGUUAAUAUUCCCGUACUUGGUGUUACUGCGAAGGGGGGACGGAGAAGGCUAUGUUGGCCGGGCGACGGUUGUCCCGGUUUAAGCGUGUAGGUGUGUGUUCCAGGUAAAUCCGGUUCACUUUAACACUGAGGCGUGAUGACGAGGCACUACGGUGCUGAAGCAACAAAUGCCCUGCUUCCAGGAAAAGCCUCUAAGCAUCAGGUAACAUCAAAUCGUACCCCAAACCGACACAGGUGGUCAGGUAGAGAAUACCAAGGCGCUUGAGAGAACUCGGGUGAAGGAACUAGGCAAAAUGGUGCCGUAACUUCGGGAGAAGGCACGCUGACACGUAGGUGAAGUGAUUUACUCACGGAGCUGAAGUCAGUCGAAGAUACCAGCUGGCUGCAACUGUUUAUUAAAAACACAGCACUGUGCAAACACGAAAGUGGACGUAUACGGUGUGACGCCUGCCCGGUGCCGGAAGGUUAAUUGAUGGGGUCAGCGCAAGCGAAGCUCCUGAUCGAAGCCCCGGUAAACGGCGGCCGUAACUAUAACGGUCCUAAGGUAGCGAAAUUCCUUGUCGGGUAAGUUCCGACCUGCACGAAUGGCGUAAUGAUGGCCAGGCUGUCUCCACCCGAGACUCAGUGAAAUUGAACUCGCUGUGAAGAUGCAGUGUACCCGCGGCAAGACGGAAAGACCCCGUGAACCUUUACUAUAGCUUGACACUGAACAUUGAGCCUUGAUGUGUAG